CCUACGGGCGGCAGCAGUGAGGAAUAUUGGUCAAUGGGCGCGAGCCUGAUCCAGCCAUGUAGCGUGAAGGAUGACUGCCCUACGGUUUGUAAACUUCUUUUAUAAAGGAAUAAAGUGAGGCACGUGUGCCUUUUUGUAUGUACUUUAUGAAUAAGGAUCGGCUAAGCUCGUGCCAGCAGCCGCGGUAAGACGGAGGGUCCGAGCGUUAUCCGGAUUUAUUGGGUUUAAAGGGAGCGUAGAUGGGUUGUUAAGUCAGUUGUGAAAGUUUGCGGCUCAACCGUAAAAUUGCAAUUGAUACUGGGAGACUUGAGUACAGUUGAGGUAGGCGGAAUUCGUGGUGUAGCGGUGAAAUGCUUAGAUAUCACGAAGAACUCCGAUUGCGAAGGCAGCUUCCUAAACUGCCACUGACAUUGAUGCUCGAAAGUGUGGGUAUCAAACAGGAUUAGAUACCCCAGUAGUC
rnacentral:rRNA from 1 species